rnacentral:rRNA from 1 species
UUAAAUUGAAGAGUUUGAUCAUGGCUCAGAUUGAACGCUGGCGGCAGGCCUAACACAUGCAAGUCGAACGGUAACAGGAAGCAGCUUGCUGCUUCGCUGACGAGUGGCGGACGGGUGAGUAAUGUCUGGGAAACUGCCUGAUGGAGGGGGAUAACUACUGGAAACGGUAGCUAAUACCGCAUAACGUCGCAAGACCAAAGAGGGGGACCUUCGGGCCUCUUGCCAUCGGAUGUGCCCAGAUGGGAUUAGCUAGUAGGUGGGGUAACGGCUCACCUAGGCGACGAUCCCUAGCUGGUCUGAGAGGAUGACCAGCCACACUGGAACUGAGACACGGUCCAGACUCCUACGGGAGGCAGCAGUGGGGAAUAUUGCACAAUGGGCGCAAGCCUGAUGCAGCCAUGCCGCGUGUAUGAAGAAGGCCUUC